GGCGCACGCCUGUUCAUGAUGAUAGUGGCUGGGAUGCACUCAUAAUGCCGGAGUCGGUAGUUCGAAUCUACCCAUAGCCACCA
rnacentral:tRNA from 1 species